rnacentral:rRNA from 1 species
AUGCUUAGAAGAAUGUACCAAGGUGGUUCCUCGGCAAAGAAAGGGCCAAGGAUUGCUAUACAUGAGCAAGAUGUUAAAUUGCCGAGGGACGCAAAUGUACGGGCUUGUGAGUGGCCAUCCGAUGAUUUUAUGGUCGAAGCAGGCUUCAAGGAGGAAUUUGACGCGUAUGUGCGUAAUGCCGAGCUGGAGGACUUCUUACAAGAUAAGUGUCCUCAAUAUUAUCAAUUGACUGAUUCCUUUGUGCGGAGGUUCGAAUAUAUCUCUGCGCGUAAUUCUCCUAGUGUCAUGUUUGAUAUCUAUGAUACAUAUUAUACCAUGGAUUUAGAGGAUUUCACAACUACUUGCAAACUCCCGCAGUGGGGUAAUAUUAAUGAUCCUCCCAAAUCUGAAUUUAGAGAUUUUCUUGCUAGUAUUAUUGUGGGAGAAUCUAGGGACAUAGCGCAAGCUACCAUAGGGAGCAUUCAUUUUCCUGCUAUACAUUAUUUUGCUCUCUUUAUUGGUAGAUGCAUUAACGGCAAGGACGAAGCAUGUCACAUGUGCGUCCCUGAUCUUUGUGUCCUCAAGAGUGUUGUGUCAGGUUAUAAAGGUUAUAACUUGGGGGCAAUAGUUGCACGUAGGUUGCAGAAUAAUAGUAGAAGGGGUGAUUUCUUUGGAGGAAUUUAUGCAACCCGUGUGGCUAAUUUUCUUAAUAUAGCUCCAUGA